GACGGACGCUGGCGGCGUGCUUAACACAUGCAAGUCGAGCGGAAAGGCCUGCUUUCCCUUGUGGAUUGCGGGUACUCGAGUGGCGAACGGGUGAGUAACACGUGAGUGAUCUGCCCCCAACUUGGGUAUAAGCCUGGGAAACUGGGUCUAAUUCCCGAUAGGACUGCAGGGUGGUGCCUGUGGUGGAAAACGAUUUUCUAGUGGUUGGGGAUGAGCUCGCGGCCUAUCAGCUUGUUGGUGGGGUAAUGGCCUACCAAGGCGGCGACGGGUAGCCGGCCUGAGAGGGUGGACGGCCACAUUGGGACUGAGAUACGGCCCAGACUCCUACGGGAGGCAGCAGUGGGGAAUAUUGCACAAUGGGCGGAAGCCUGAUGCAGCGACGCCGCGUGGGGGAUGACGGCCUUCGGGUUGUAAACUCCUUUCGACCGCGAGGAAGCCACCUGGUUGGAAGGGUGGUGACGGUAGUGGUAGAAGAAGCACCGGCUAACUACGUG
rnacentral:rRNA from 1 species